rnacentral:rRNA from 1 species
GGGGAAUUUUCCGCAAUGGGCGAAAGCCUGACGCAGCGACGCCGCGUGGAGGAUGAAGGCCCUUGGGUCGUAAACUCCUGUCGGGUGUGAAGAAAGCCGCUGGGUUAACAGCCGAGCGGACUGACUGUAGCACCAAAGGAAGCCCCGGCUAACUCCGUGCCAGCAGCCGCGGUAAUACGGAGGGGGCAAGCGUUGUUCGGAAUCAUUGGGCGUAAAGGGCGUGUAGGCGGCCUGACCAAGUCGGAUGUGAAAUCCCUCGGCUCAACCGAGGAACUGCAUCCGAUACUGGUUGGCUAGAGUCCGGGAGAGGGUAGCGGAAUUCCCAGUGUAGCGGUGAAAUGCGUAGAUAUUGGGAAGAACACCGGUGGCGAAGGCGGCUACCUGGACCGGUACUGACGCUGAGGCGCGAAAGCCAGGGGAGCGAAUGGGAUUAGAUACCCCAGUAGUC